UGGGGAAUCUUGCACAAUGGGCGCAAGCCUGAUCCAGCCAUGCCGCGUGAGUGAAGAAGGCCUUAGGGUUGUAAAGCUCUUUCGCUAGGGAAGAUAAUGACGGUACCUAGUAAAGAAACCCCGGCUAACUCCGUG
rnacentral:rRNA from 1 species